GAAGAGUGAGCUAUAUAAGGCUUGUUACCAGGGGAGGCCUAACAAACAGCUACAAACACCUAAGUUAUUUUGCUCGCCACCCACCCUUCCCUCUCUCUCUCUCUCUCUCUCCCUCUCUCUCUCUCUUUUCUUUCGCUCCUCUCGCGCUCUCCUUUUUUUUUUUCCCCCCUCUUUUCAUCUCGGGCUUUCUGAUGUUGAAUGCAAAUGUGGCCUGCCGGCGGAGAAAGGGGGCGAAUUGUGAUUAAGCAGAAGAAGAGCCCUUUUCUUUGUUCUCGCCUCCGGGGAUGUUUACUGGGAGAGACAUGGAGGAUCAGAUAUGAAAGGCAUUCAGCCUGGCCUGUUUGACUGUGAAGAUCUUUGGCGGGUAAGAGCAGCACGUAUAGUAACGGUGGUUCGCUGGCUGCAGAAGCGUAACAGGUAAUGGCAUCUCGUUUGCACCGGACCUGUUUUUAUUUUGGGUUUUUUACUUUUUUUUUUUUCUUCCUGAAUUUAUAUCAACGUGUUUCCGUUUGAGCGAGGAACUGCAUGGGCUUUGCUGGACAACACCUCGUCAAGCCAGACGCCACCACGAUCGGGAGUCUUCGCAACGCUACGUCCAAAUUCUUUUGUCCGGCCUUAAGAUUUUUGCAGUGAUUUCUUCCCCGCAUUUAUAAAUACCAUUGUAACAUGAUAUUCCUUCAUCUUAAGGUCUCAAAUCAUGCUCCAGCAGCAAUGUUUUUUUUUCUUUCUUUUUUUUAAAUAGAAGAGCAAAUUAUGUGCUUAAGGUGUCGUUGUCAUAUAAAAUCUAGACUUCUGAUUGUU